CCUACGGGAGGCAGCAGUGGGGAAUAUUGCACAAUGGGGGAAACCCUGAUGCAGCGACGCCGCGUGAGUGAAGAAGUAUUUCGGUACGUAAAGCUCUGUCAGCAGGGAAGAAAGAAAUGACGGUACCUGACCAAGAAGCCCCGGCUAACUACGUGCCAGCAGCCGCGGUAAUACGUAGGGGGCAAGCGUUAUCCGGAAUUACUGGGUGUAAAGGGAGCGUAGACGGUUAAGUAAGUCUGGAGUGAAAGGCCGGGGCCCAACCCCGGGACUGCUCUGGAAACUAUUGAACUUGAGUGCAGGAGAGGUAAGCGGAAUUCCUAGUGUAGCGGUGAAAUGCGUAGAUAUUAGGAGGAACACCGGUGGCGAAGGCGGCCUGCUGGACUGUGACUGACGUUGAGGCCCGAAGGCGUGGGGAGCAAACAGGAUUAGAUACCCUAGUAGUC
rnacentral:rRNA from 1 species